ACCCAGCGGAGGAGCCCCAAAAAGGACAAAACGCGCGUCCUGGAU
rnacentral:hammerhead_ribozyme from 1 species